rnacentral:rRNA from 1 species
AGAGGAAGUAAAAGUCGUAACAAGGUUUCCGUAGGUGAACCUGCGGAAGGAUCAUUAUUGAUUAAGAAUGGUUGCCCUCUGUGCUGGCCCCCCGGGCAAGUGCACGUUGGUGACUUUCAUCCAACCCCUUGUGCACCUUUGGCCUCUUGUUGGCUUUGGCUGGCAGAGGAUUUUUACACACACACACUAGAAUGUAAUGAUAGACCACUCAGUGCGCGAGCACUGCUAAAUGUACAACUUUCAACAACGGAUCUCUUGGCUCUCGCAUCGAUGAAGAACGCAGCGAAAUGCGAUAAGUAAUGUGAAUUGCAGAAUUCAGUGAAUCAUCGAAUCUUUGAACGCACCUUGCACCCUUUGGCAUUCCGAAGGGUAUGCUCGUUUGAGUGUCAUUGUAAUCUCACACUCUCCGAUUCGGGCUCGGAUUGGGAGCGGUGGACUUUGGGUGUUGCUGCUUCACGGUGGCUCGCCUSAAAUGCAUUAGUGCAACUCUGGGUUGGACAUAGUACGGCGUGAUAAGUAUCUUCGCCGGCACCUCGUAAUAAGAGGGUGGCUAAUUUGGAGCGCUGUGCUUCUAAUGGUCUUCGGACAAUCUCUGACAACUUGACCUCAAAUCGAGUAGGACUACCCGCUGAACUUAAGCAUAUCAAUAAGCGGAGGAAAAGAAACUAACAAGGAUUCCCUUAGUAACGGCGAGUGAAGAGGGAAGAGCUCAAAUUUUGAAUCUGGCGCCUUUGGCGUCCGAGUUGUAAUCUAGAGAAGUGUUUUCCGUGGCGGACCGUGCACAAGUCUCCUGGAAUGGAGCUGUCAUAGAGGGUGAGAAUCCCGUACAUGGCAUGGACUCCCGUUACUCUGCGAUACACUCUCGACGAGUCGAGUUGUUUGGGAAUGCAGCUCUAAUUGGGUGGUAAAUGCCAUCUAAAGCUAAAUAUUGGCGAGAGACCGAUAGCGAACAAGUACCGUGAGGGAAAGAUGAAAAGCACUUUGGAAAGAGAGUGAAACAGUACGUGAAAUUGUUGAAAGGGAAACGCUUGAAGUCAGUCGCGCCCUUCAGGAUUCAGCCUUGCUUCUGCUCGGUUUACUUCCUGUUGGGUGGGUCAACGUCAGUUUCGAUCGGAGGAGAAAGGCUUGGGGAAGGUGGCAGCACUUGUGCUGUGUUAUAGCCCCGUGCUGUAUACUUCGAUUGGGACUGAGGACCGCAGCGCGCCUUUACGGCCGGGGCUUGCCCACGUACGCGCUUAGGAUGUUGGCAUAAUGGCUUUAAGCGACCCGUCUUG